GCCAGCAGCCAUAGCACCUUUAGUUCAGACUAUAUAAUCCAUCUAAAGCUAAGUAGGUUUUUACUUGGCCAGUACUUGGAUGGGAGUCCAACUAGGAAAACUGGGUUGCUGCUGGAA
rnacentral:rRNA from 1 species